GAAAAUCACAAUUCAUAAGCCAGUUGGAAAAGUUCAAAGUGAUACUCAGUCACCAUUUGGAAAACACGUGUUACUACGCUAUUCAACAUUGAAUACUGAAAGACGUGAUUAUUAAAUAAUUUCAACUUCAUCAACAAUUACCAACACAUUUCCGAUAUCAGCUUAUUCCACAAACAUCAAAUUCCGACUUUACCAAUCAAAGCGAGCAUCAUCCCAUCAGCAAAACCUACUAUCAAAGAACAUCACACGUCUGCAGAGAACAGCGGACUUUUGAUCACUACAUCAAGGGCUCAUCUUACAGCAAACUUUGACUAUACUAGACAAGGUAUUGUCAAGGGAUUCCCAUCAAGAGCAAACACUCAACAGUAGAAAACACUAGACUGCGGUCAAUGUCUAUGCUCGAAGUCUAUGCUCGAUGUCUAUGCUGGAUGUCCAUGCCCGAAGUCCAUGAUUGAAGCCAGGUCCCAUAUUCCACGUUCCAUGGUGAGGCUGCAAGUCUACAUUCGGUGAACCAGACCGAUGAUUACGAAUCCAGGACGUCCAGUCUAAUUAUUCUGGUACGAGGACUGGUCCAGACGAAUCUGGGAAGAUUCCACCGGAGUUCGUAAUUGUACAAACCCGCCACACCACAAGAUUCGCCAUCUUCAAAUAAUAUCGACGUAUAAGGAUAUCAGCCAAACUUCGUAACAUCGCCCAUAUGGAUAAAGUGUAAACAGUGCUCGCGAAAAGUAAAAUAUUGCAAAAGUGUUCAUCGAUUAAAAGGGUUUUGGGGCGCCCCUCCUCAACAUAUAAGGUAUUUAUCUGAAUCACUAUGUAUUGAGAUCAAAAUGUAAUCUGUUUAUUUUAUAUUCAUAAUUUGUUGCACCGUUUAAUCUGUUUUCAAUAUUUAAUUAGAUGCUUCUUUUAACUAUC